GGGGAUGACUGGCUUCGACGGGAGAGGCUGGUCCCGGAUUGCGAGUCGAGAGGUACCGAACUCGUUAACUCAGUACACCAAUUAAGUGCCAAUCGCACUGAAUACGCGGCUCUCCCCCUCGCAGCCUAAGCUGUGAGCUAAGAGCUCUGAUCUCAUAAGAGGUCACGUCCCUCAUCGUCCGUUUUCCUGGCCGGGCAUGAGUGUGGCGACACAAAGUCAGGAUGCCAUGCCGGACGCUGUUAAUGGCAUGAAAGAAGGGCUUUCGGGUCCUAACAGCUUGCGAAAGGGUCGCCCCGUUGGCUGGCUAACCUUAAGCGAGAUUGAAUAAGUCAACUACACUCGUAGAUAUUCGAGGGUCGAUUCUUUCGGACGCGGGUUCGAUUCCCGCCAUCUCCACCU
rnacentral:tmRNA from 1 species